rnacentral:rRNA from 1 species
UACGGAGGGGGCUAGCGUUGUUCGGAAUUACUGGGCGUAAAGCGCACGUAGGCGGCUUUGUAAGUUAGAGGUGAAAGCCCAGGGCUCAACCCUGGAAUUGCCUUUAAGACUGCAUCGCUUGAACAUCGGAGAGGUAAGUGGAAUUCCGAGUGUAGAGGUGAAAUUCGUAGAUAUUCGGAAGAACACCAGUGGCGAAGGCGGCUCACUGGUCCGGUACUGACGCUGAGGUGCGAAAGCGUGGGGAGCAAACAGG